AACGAACGCUGGCGGCAGGCCUAACACAUGCAAGUCGAGCGAGGACUUCGGUUCUAGCGGCGGACGGGUGAGUAACGCGUGGGAAUGUGCCCUUCUCUACGGAAUAGCCCUGGGAAACUGGGAGUAAUACCGUAUACGCCCUAUUGGGGAAAGAUUUAUCGGAGAAGGAUCAGCCCGCGUUGGAUUAGGUAGUUGGUGUGGUAAUGGCCUACCAAGCCGACGAUCCAUAGCUGGUUUGAGAGGAUGAUCAGCCACACUGGGACUGAGACACGGCCCAGACUACUGCGGGAGGCAGCAGUGGGGAAUCUUAGACAAUGGGGGCAACCCUGAUCUAGCCAUGCCGCGUGAGUGAUGAAGGCCUUAGGGUUGUAAAGCUCUUUCAGCUGGGAAGAUAAUGACGGUACCAGCAGAAGAAGCCCCGGCUAACUCCGUG
rnacentral:rRNA from 1 species